rnacentral:rRNA from 1 species
UUUUGGACAAUGGGGGCAACCCUGAUCCAGCCAUGCCGCGUGAGUGAAGAAGGCCUUCGGGUUGUAAAGCUCUUUCGGACGGAACGAAAUGGGCGGGACUAAUACUCCUGUCUGAUGACGGUACCGUAAGAAGAAGCACCGGCUAACUACGUGCCAGCAGCAGCGGUAAUACGUAGGGUGCGAGCGUUAAUCGGAAUUACUGGGCGUAAAGCGUGCGCAGGCGGUUUCGUAAGCUGGAGGUGAAAUCCCCGGGCUUAACCUGGGAAUGGCCUUCAGGACUGCGAGGCUAGAGUGCGGCAGAGGGAGGUGGAAUUCCACGUGUAGCAGCGAAAUGCGUAGAGAUGUGGAGGAACACCGAUGGCGAAGGCAGCCUCCUGGGCCAGCACUGACGCUCAUGCACGAAA